rnacentral:ncRNA from 1 species
CAACCUGAACUCAGUCGUGAUUACCCGCUGAACUUAAGCAUAUCAUUUAGCGGAGGAAAAGAAACUAAAAAGGAUUACCCUAGUAACGGCGAGUGAAACGGGAAGAGCCCAGCGCCGAAUCGAUCAGUCUUUGGCUGCUUCGAAAUGUGGCGUAUAGGUGUAGUCUUCCAGCAGUGUCGUAUGUCCGAAGUCCUUGCGAUUGAGGCCAUAAACCAGAGAGGGUGCGAGCCCCGUUCUGGAUAGCGGCGCUGUUGGUUCGACUGCUCCUUGGAGUCGGGUUGCUUGAAAGUGCAGCCUAAAGUGGGUGAUAAACUUCAUCUAAGGCUAAAUAUUGACUCGAUUGCGAUAGCGAACAAGUACCGUGAGGGAAAGUUGCAAAGGACUUUGAAGAGAGAGUUCAAGAGAACGUGAAAUCGCUGGAGUGGAACCGGAGACAGUUGAUGUUGCUUGGAGACAAUCUUGGUGGCUGAUCGCUUAGCUGUGAUCGCCGCCGGGAGUCGUUUCCUAUGCUACGCCGACGGCGUUGGCCGCUCGUUCUGGCCCGACAGUGUUGCCCAUCUCGCAAGAGACGGUGUCUUGUUGUCGGUCGUUGGUUCGUGGUGGCUAGCGUUUAGUUACGCUAGUGUGUGUGACGUCGGUGUGAAAGUCGACGACGUUUCCGACCCGUCUUGAAACACGGAUUACGGAGUGUUUGUCUGCUGCGAGUCAAAGGGUGUAAAAACCUUGCGGCGCAAUGAAAGUGAAGGUUAGUCUCGAACUGACCGACG